rnacentral:rRNA from 1 species
AUAUGGUCAAGUGAAGAAGCGCAUACGGUGGAUGCCUUGGCAGUCAGAGGCGAUGAAAGACGUGGUAGCCUGCGAAAAGCUUCGGGGAGUCGGCAAACAGACUUUGAUCCGGAGAUGUCUGAAUGGGGGAACCCAGCCAUCAUAAGAUGGUUAUCUUGUACUGAAUACAUAGGUGCAAGAGGCGAACCAGGGGAACUGAAACAUCUAAGUACCCUGAGGAAAAGAAAUCAACCGAGAUUCCCUUAGUAGUGGCGAGCGAACGGGGACUAGCCCUUAAGUGGCUUUGAGAUUAGCGGAACGCUCUGGAAAGUGCGGCCAUAGUGGGUGAUAGCCCUGUACGCGAAAAUCUCUUAGUCAUGAAAUCGAGUAGGACGGAGCACGAGAAACUUUGUCUGAAUAUGGGGGACCAUCCUCCAAGGCUAAAUACUACUGACUGACCGAUAGUGAACUAGUACCGUGAGGGAAAGGCGAAAAGAACCCCGGAGAGGGGAGUGAAAUAGAUCCUGAAACCGUAUGCGUACAAGCAGUGGGAGCCCACUUUGUUGGGUGACUGCGUACCUUUUGUAUAAUGGGUCAGCGACUUAUUUUCAGUGGCGAGCUUAACCGAAUAGGGGAGGCGUAGCGAAAGCGAGUCUUAAUAGGGCGUCUAGUCGCUGGGAAUAGACCCGAAACCGGGCGAUCUAUCCAUGGGCAGGUUGAAGGUUGGGUAACACUAACUGGAGGACCGAACCGACUACCGUUGAAAAGUUAGCGGAUGACCUGUGGAUCGGAGUGAAAGGCUAAUCAAGCUCGGAGAUAGCUGGUUCUCCUCGAAAGCUAUUUAGGUAGCGCCUCAUGUAUCACUGUAGGGGGUAGAGCACUGUUUCGGCUAGGGGGUCAUCCCGACUUACCAAACCGAUGCAAACUCCGAAUACCUACAAGUGCCGAGCAUGGGAGACACACGGCGGGUGCUAACGUCCGUCGUGAAAAGGGAAACAACCCAGACCGUCAGCUAAGGUCCCAAAGUUAUGGUUAAGUGGGAAACGAUGUGGGAAGGCUUAGACAGCUAGGAGGUUGGCUUAGAAGCAGCCACCCUUUAAAGAAAGCGUAAUAGCUCACUAGUCGAGUCGGCCUGCGCGGAAGAUGUAACGGGGCUCAAACCAUACACCGAAGCUACGGGUAUCACGUAAGUGAUGCGGUAGAGGAGCGUUCUGUAAGCCUGUGAAGGUGAGUUGAGAAGCUUGCUGGAGGUAUCAGAAGUGCGAAUGCUGACAUGAGUAACGACAAUGGGUGUGAAAAACACCCACGCCGAAAGACCAAGGUUUCCUGCGCAACGUUAAUCGACGCAGGGUUAGUCGGUCCCUAAGGCGAGGCUGAAAAGCGUAGUCGAUGGAAAACAGGUUAAUAUUCCUGUACUUCUGGUUAUUGCGAUGGAGGGACGGAGAAGGCUAGGCCAGCUUGGCGUUGGUUGUCCAAGUUUAAGGUGGUAGGCUGGAAUCUUAGGUAAAUCCGGGAUUCUAAGGCCGAGAGCUGAUGACGAGUUACCCUUUGGGUGACGAAGUGGUUGAUGCCAUGCUUCCAAGAAAAGCUUCUAAGCUUCAGGUAACCAGGAACCGUACCCCAAACCGACACAGGUGGUUGGGUAGAGAAUACCAAGGCGCUUGAGAGAACUCGGGUGAAGGAACUAGGCAAAAUGGCACCGUAACUUCGGGAGAAGGUGCGCCGGUGAGGGUGAAGCACUUGCUGCGUAAGCCACGCCGGUCGAAGAUACCAGGCCGCUGCGACUGUUUAUUAAAAACACAGCACUCUGCAAACACGAAAGUGGACGUAUAGGGUGUGACGCCUGCCCGGUGCCGGAAGGUUAAUUGAUGGGGUUAGCUAACGCGAAGCUCUUGAUCGAAGCCCCGGUAAACGGCGGCCGUAAC